UGAGUAACACGUAUGCAAUCCACCUGUAACAGGGGGAUAACCCGGAGAAAUCCGGACUAAUACCCCAUAAUAUGGGCUCUCCGCAUGGAGGGUCCAUUAAAGAGAGCAAUCUUGGUUACAGACGAGCAUGCGCUCCAUUAGCCAGUUGGCGGGGUAACGGCCCACCAAGGCGACGAUGGAUAGGGGUUCUGAGAGGAAGGUCCCCCACAUUGGAACUGAGACACGGUCCAAACUCCUACGGGAGGCAGCAGUGAGGAAUAUUGGUCAAUGGUCGGCAGACUGAACCAGCCAAGUCGCGUGAGGGAAGACGGCCCUACGGGUUGUAAACCUCUUUUGUCGGAGAGUAAAGUACGCUACGCGUAGCGUAUUGCAAGUAUCCGAAGAAAAAGCAUCGGCUAACUCCGUGCCAGCAGCCGCGGUAAUACGGAGGAUGCGAGCGUUAUCCGGAUUUAUUGGGUUUAAAGGGUGCGUAGGCGGCACGCCAAGUCAGCGGUGAAAUUUCCGGGCUCAACCCGGACUGUGCCGUUGAAACUGGCGAGCUAGAGUGCACAAGAGGCAGGCGGAAUGCGUGGUGUAGCGGUGAAAUGCAUAGAUAUCACGCAGAACCCCGAUUGCGAAGGCAGCCUGCUAGGGUGCGACAGACGCUGAGGCACGAAAGCGUGGGUAUCGAACAGGAUUAGAUACCCUGGUAGUCCACGCAGUAAACGAUGAAUACUAACUGUUUGCGAUACAAUGUAAGCGGUACAGCGAAAGCGUUAAGUAUUCCACCUGGGGAGUACGCCGGCAACGGUGAAACUCAAAGGAAUUGACGGGGGCCCGCACAAGCGGAGGAACAUGUGGUUUAAUUCGAUGAUACGCGAGGAACCUUACCCGGGCUCAAACGCAGGGGGAAUAUAUAUGAAAGUAUAUAGCUAGCAAUAGUCACCUGCGAGGUGCUGCAUGGUUGUCGUCAGCUCGUGCCGUGAGGUGUCGGCUUAAGUGCCAUAACGAGCGCAACCCCUAUGGACAGUUACUAACGGGUAAAGCCGAGGACUCUGUCUAGACUGCCGGCGCAAGCCGCGAGGAAGGUGGGGAUGACGUCAAAUCAGCACGGCCCUUACGUCCGGGGCGACACACGUGUUACAAUGGCAGGUACAGAAGGCAGCCAGUCAGCAAUGACGCGCGAAUCCCGAAAACCUGUCUCAGUUCGGAUUGGAGUCUGCAACCCGACUCCAUGAAGCUGGAUUCGCUAGUAAUCGCGCA
rnacentral:rRNA from 1 species